AACGCUAGCUACAGGCUUAACACAUGCAAGUCGAGGGGCAUCAGGAAGAAAGCUUGCUUUCUUUGCUGGCGACCGGCGCACGGGUGAGUAACACGUAUCCAACCUGCCGAUGACUCGGGGAUAGCCUUUCGAAAGAAAGAUUAAUACCCGAUGGUAUAUCUGAAAGGCAUCUUUCAGCUAUUAAAGAAUUUCGGUCAUUGAUGGGGAUGCGUUCCAUUAGGUUGUUGGCGGGGUAACGGCCCACCAAGCCAUCGAUGGAUAGGGGUUCUGAGAGGAAGGUCCCCCACAUUGGAACUGAGACACGGUCCAAACUCCUACGGGAGGCAGCAGUGAGGAAUAUUGGUCAAUGGACGAGAGUCUGAACCAGCCAAGUAGCGUGAAGGAUGACUGCCCUAUGGGUUGUAAACUUCUUUUAUACGGGAAUAAAGUUAGGCACGUGUGCCUUUUUGUAUGUACCGUAUGAAUAAGGAUCGGCUAACUCCGUGCCAGCAGCCGCGGUAAUACGGAGGAUCCGAGCGUUAUCCGGAUUUAUUGGGUUUAAAGGGGGCGUAGGCGGAUGCGUAAGUCAGUUGUGAAAGUUUGCGGCUCAACCGUAAAAUUGCAGUUGAUACUGGGUGUCUUGAGUACAGUAGAGGCAGGCGGAAUUCGUGGUGUAGCGGUGAAAUGCUUAGAUAUCACGAAGAACUCCGAUUG
rnacentral:rRNA from 1 species